rnacentral:rRNA from 2 species
UAAUACAUGCAAGUCGAACGAACUCUGGUAUUGAUUGGUGCUUGCAUCAUGAUUUACAUUUGAGUGAGUGGCGAACUGGUGAGUAACACGUGGGAAACCUGCCCAGAAGCGGGGGAUAACACCUGGAAACAGAUGCUAAUACCGCAUAACAACUUGGACCGCAUGGUCCGAGUUUGAAAGAUGGCUUCGGCUAUCACUUUUGGAUGGUCCCGCGGCGUAUUAGCUAGAUGGUGGGGUAACGGCUCACCAUGGCAAUGAUACGUAGCCGACCUGAGAGGGUAAUCGGCCACAUUGGGACUGAGACACGGCCCAAACUCCUACGGGAGGCAGCAGUAGGGAAUCUUCCACAAUGGACGAAAGUCUGAUGGAGCAACGCCGCGUGAGUGAAGAAGGGUUUCGGCUCGUAAAACUCUGUUGUUAAAGAAGAACAUAUCUGAGAGUAACUGUUCAGGUAUUGACGGUAUUUAACCAGAAAGCCACGGCUAACUACGUGCCAGCAGCCGCGGUAAUACGUAGGUGGCAAGCGUUGUCCGGAUUUAUUGGGCGUAAAGCGAGCGCAGGCGGUUUUUUAAGUCUGAUGUGAAAGCCUUCGGCUCAACCGAAGAAGUGCAUCGGAAACUGGGAAACUUGAGUGCAGAAGAGGACAGUGGAACUCCAUGUGUAGCGGUGAAAUGCGUAGAUAUAUGGAAGAACACCAGUGGCGAAGGCGGCUGUCUGGUCUGUAACUGACGCUGAGGCUCGAAAGUAUGGGUAGCAAACAGGAUUAGAUACCCUGGUAGUCCAUACCGUAAACGAUGAAUGCUAAGUGUUGGAGGGUUUCCGCCCUUCAGUGCUGCAGCUAACGCAUUAAGCAUUCCGCCUGGGGAGUACGGCCGCAAGGCUGAAACUC